CCUUGGAGGGAGGCGUGGCUGGUGGUUCUCUGACACAAAGAUACAAUCAGCCUCUGUUGAAAGAAAUUAUAGCACACUUUUCCUUUUUCUUCUUAAAUAAACAAAGACAAAAUAAACAGGUAAAAAAGUACCUCAAAAAAGUUUGUGUUUCGGGAAGAGCUAGGUCUUCACCUGUCACGUGGCUCGGCUGUUCGGACAUCUAGGGUUCAUUCCACCACCUCAAACCCAGAACAGAAAAGAAUCUUGAUGUAUACUUACCUCUUAACCCUGAGAGAAGGUGAGACCAGUCAAGCAGUGCUAGAAGAUCUGAGACAGCAUGGUGCAGUGCGAGGAGUCAUCAGAGCUUUGAGAUAAGAGGGCGCUGGCCUAUUUUUGGCUUUGUAGAUGAAGCGAGACACUGCAAGAUUUUUAUGCUUUAUAUAGACUUGUUGAUGUGUAGCUGCAAAGAUGCUUCCGGAAAGUUCUCGCACCUCAUCUCAGCCAGGCUGAUGCUUUAGCCUCACGGCCCAGAGAAUUACGGAGCAGGAGACCCCGGUAUUAAGCUGAUAAAGCCGGGAGGAACGCUUUUCCCAACAGGUUCUGGAGCUUAUCUAGGAGGCCAGUGUGGAGCAGCAACCCACACUUCUAUGCUCUGAGGAGCAAGUUUUCCACAUUUUCUACAGCGCUAGUGUACGGAGGCGGAAUCAGUGAAUUAAAUAUUCGGUCUGAAAAUAUUUUAAACUGAUAAAUAAAAUGACAUUGAUGCAAAAAGAUACUUGAGUCUACUUGAGAUAAAAAAAAAUGUGUUUGUUGUCACAAAAAUAAACAAUAAAAACCUUUUGCUCACA